UACGUAGGGGGCAAGCGUUGUCCGGAUUUAUUGGGCGUAAAGAGCGUGUAGGCGGCCAGACAGGUCCGUUGUGAAAACUCGAGGCUCAACCUCGAGACGUCGACGGAAGCCGUCUGGCUAGAGUCCGGAAGAGGAGUGUGGAAUUCCUGGUGUAGCGGUGAAAUGCGCAGAUAUCAGGAAGAACACCUAUGGCGAAGGCAGCACUCUGGGACGGUACUGACGCUGAGACGCGAAAGCGUGGGGAGCGAACAGG
rnacentral:rRNA from 1 species